rnacentral:rRNA from 1 species
AUGUAUCAUGCACUCACACAUUCUGAGGUACCAGUGAGUUAUAAUAAGAAAAUUUGGAGGUCAAAGAUACCACUAUAAGUUAAAAUCUUCAUGUGGUAUCUUCGUAGGGGAGUUGUUCUAACCAAAGACAACCUCGCACGACACAAUUGGAAAGGGAGUAAGAAGUGUUGUUUUUGUUCUCAUAAUGAGAUAAUCAGACACCUCUUUCUCUAA